CUCUAGGGGUGGCAUCACCCAAACACUGAGUCCCGGAGCCUACUCGACGCACCCACCGCAUCUUCACUUUUCCAAGAAGGUUGGGGGUGAGUCCCCCACCGGCAGACCCCUGCUAAGGUGCCAAGAGUGAGCAAAGCAGGUCCUCACCCAGGAGGCUGUCUCCUGGACCCCUCACACCAGAACUCGAAGCCUGAGUAAGAAAGCAGGAGGAGUACCGUCCCCCAGCCCGUCAGUGGGGGACCGAUCGGUGCGAGAUAGAGCACCCUGAGCACGAGGACUCUGCGAUCCAAGGAAUGGGCUGCUCUGCACUGCUGUGGGCUGUGUGCCGAGACGUAUUGCCGAGAAAAAGCAGUGCUAAUACGCUGUGAUAACAUUUGGAUUUUAAAAAGAAAGAGUUACUUGUACGUGAUAGACGUUUUCUGGAAAGACACAAAGAAACGAUAACUUCAGCCUGCAGAGACGAGCUUCACUGCACUCACAGAGCAGACAGAAAUCACCUGGCACCGGGGUGCUCAAUAAAUG